rnacentral:rRNA from 1 species
UACGUAGGUCCCGAGCGUUGUCCGGAUUUAUUGGGCGUAAAGCGAGCGCAGGUGGUCUAUUAAGUCUGGUGUAAAAGGCAGUGGCUCAGCCAUUGUAUGCAUUGGAAACUGGUAGACUUGAGUGCAGGAGAGGAGAGUGGAAUUCCAUGUGUAGCGGUGAAAUGCGUAGAUAUAUGGAGGAAUACCGGUGGCGAAAGCGGCUCUCUGGCCUGUAACUGACACUGAGGCUCGAAAGCGUGGGGAGCAAACAGG